rnacentral:lncRNA from 1 species
UAAACUUGGAAACAAGGUUAGAUUUGGUCUGGGGAGAGGGAACAGAAGGAGUUUAAAGUUGAGAUCCAUUGCUUUGAGACCUGAGCUACCAUGCCCAGCCCAGUGCCAUUACAGUUUCAUCACAAGACUAAAUAAUAUAACUGAAAAGAUUUCUCUAAUCUUAGAAUCCUGGCUAGUGAUAGGAAGUGAUAGUCACUAGGGAUCACUGCAUGGUCACUAAGCAAAUGAAGCAGAGUUACCCCAAAUCUUUCUUUGAUAGAGUUAUUAUAUUGGAGAUAAAUCAUUUGACAUGGACUAUUUAUACUUCUAUAAUUCAUUUAGCGAAAUCUCAUGUGUGUGUGUGUGUGUGUGCGUGUGUCUGUGUGAGACAGAGAGAAAGAAAGAGGGAGAGAGAGAAUAAAAAAGAAAGAAAACAAGACACACAUGGAAUUCUUGACUCCAUGAAAAACACAGUGUAACAGAGAAGACUAAUUUAAAUGAGUAUUUAAUUAAAAUUUAUGUAAUGAAACAUAAUUCCGUCUGAACAUAUAUCUGGGAUAUCAGGAGGAGAUACUCUUAGGAAAUGUUUUUUAGUUGGAAAUCUAAAGGAUGAGUAAGAUUUAGUUAACCUGAGACUUGGUGUACUCAGUUUGGGGUAUGUUGGGUAAAAAUUGCCUUCAAGACAACCAGGAAGGUAAGUUGAGUAGGCAUUGGAACACAUACGGCUAGGUUUUGUUUAUAAGUGGAGCACAGGCUGGAGUUAUACUCUCAGAAAAUAGUCUGUAAUUUAAGGCAUGAG